rnacentral:lncRNA from 1 species
UGGUGAUGCAGAAAGAGGUGAAAUCUACAAAACUUUUCAGAAGGGAAGGAGACCAUCACUAGAAAGUUUGAAAGGAAAAUCAAACUAUAUCCAAGGUACAGAGCUAAAGGAGUUGACGUGAGAGAAAGUCAUAUCCAAAGGGAGAAAGAGAGAUAUGGUGCUAUCUACAAAGACUGAAUACAGUUCCUGGGUCUAAUGUUUCUAGCCUUGUUGGCAACCUUAUGAGUUCAAGAGGAAGAGAUCCCUGCUAUAGAAGAU